rnacentral:rRNA from 1 species
GACGAACGCUGGCGGCGUGCCUAACACAUGCAAGUCGAGCGAUGAAACUUCCUUCGGGGAGUGGAUUAGCGGCGGACGGGUGAGUAACACGUGGGUAACCUGCCUCAAAGAGGGGGGAUAGCCUCCCGAAAGGGAGAUUAAUACCGACAUAACAUUAUUUUAUGGCAUCAUAAAAUAAUCAAAGGAGCAAUCCGCUUUUGAGAUGGACCCGCGGCGCAUUAGCUAGUUGGUGAGGUAAGGGCUCACCAAGGCGACGAUGCGUAGCCGACCUGAGAGGGUGAUCGGCCACAUUGGAACUGAGACACGGUCCAGACUCCUACGGGAGGCAGCAGUGGGGAAUAUUGCGCAAUGGGGGAAACCCUGACGCAGCAACGCCGCGUGAGUGAUGAAGGUUUUCGGAUCGUAAAACUCUGUCUUUAGGGACGAUAAUGACGGUACCUAAGGAGGAAGCCACGGCUAACUACGUG